rnacentral:lncRNA from 12 species
CGGGGAUGUCGGGACAGACCCAGGACGGGAAUGUGGAACUGAGGGGACUUCAGGGUGUCCUUGUCCCUCUCACAGCGACACAGGAGCCAAAGCUGGAGGAGGGAGCUUUGGCUCAUGGAGCGGCCACAGGAGCCAAAGCUGGAGGAGGGAGCUUUGGCUCGUGGAGCGGCCACCAAAUCCCCUGGGAAAAGCCAGGUGACACCAAGGCCACCCUCAGGGGACCCAGCAGGGGACAAAAUCCCCCACGAUGUCCCCGGGGAUGCGGGAAUUGCUCUCCCGCCUCUCCCCCUUCCCAAGGAUCCCUCCCGGCAAGCAGCGAGCUCCCCGCCGCGCUUUUCACUCCCAAAUUCCAGCGGAACGGCGGAAAAUUCAACACCCGCUGUUCCAUCGGGAACUUCCCAGGCGGGUCCCCACAAAGCCGGGACCCCGCUUGGCUUUGGGGCGGGGGCACCGUGCCCGCUCGCCGUGGCAGUCCGGAUGAUUUCCGCGUGAAUUCCUGGAAUUCUGCCCGUUCCCAGCCUUUUCCCUGCCCGCAUCCCGCUAAUUCCCAGCCCGGAGCUGCUCCGGGACACCGAGCUCGCCCCAAAAACCGCUCCUGGCUGCACAAGAGGAGCUCAGCUGGCAUCUCGCGGUGCCGCUGCCCUGCCAGGCGGCUCCUUCCCUAAAUCCUGCCUGUCACUUGUCAGAACCCAGAGCGAGAAAAGGGAGAAAU